UAUGGGUGCCUAAUGGUUAGAGCGUCCGCCUCGGAUGCGGGAGGUCGAAGGUUCGAAUCCCAGAAGAGUCAUAA